GUUUUGUUUUGUGCUUCUUAAUUGCAGUUCUUAUUUUACAUUUCUGCAUUGCGGUUCCUGUAACUGUCCUACUUGUGAACAUUGACAAGUACAAGUUGCAAUGUUGUAAAUUAUAAUAAAAAUUGAGUUUAAAAAAAAAAAGACUACAUUUAAAAAGUAUGAUGUUUUGGUCUUGUGUAUUUUCAGACAUGGCAUCUGUUGGUCCCCUGCUCCUGCUGAUGAUGUCAUCCUUUUUCAUCAUCUCCAGUGUGACCACGUCUCCAUCUGCUGACCAAAGCAAACACAAGAAACCCCUUCUGGAGAAACUAAAACAAGGCAAAGAAAAACUUAAAAGUGCACUAAAAAAUAAGGAGAACCUCAAAAAUAUUGGUGUACUUUGUCUAACAUUAAUCACAGGCAUUGGGAAUGCGGUAAAAGACACUAGUCAUGAUAUUCUUAAAUCUGCUGCGUCUGUGGCUAGUGUUGUGCCAGUGGUAGGUGCUGUAUUUUCCUUACUAAUGACAAACAUGUUAAGACGAACAUGUUAACAUGUUCAUGACAAAUCAUUACUGAAAGAUAUCAAGGAAGAAUUUGAAAAAAUCGAUCUUAAGCUUGAGAAGCAUCAUCGGGAACUAAAGUGGAACAUCUGGGCAGCUGCAACUUAUUCUAAGCCAGAGAUGAAAAUUAGGACUGCCUGGACUGAAUACAAAACACUGCUGGGAUCAGGAUGAAAGGAAAAGACAUGAAAAAAGCUUUAUAGAAGCCUACUCAAAAUAUGAGAAAGCUCCUCGGGAAAUGGGAGAGUUGUUGAAAAAAACAGGAAAGAGCUUCGUUAAUAACCUCGGGGAUGAACUGGCUGAAUAUGUUAAAUGUCACGAGAAGGAAAUCAUAGAAUAUACUUAUCUCAUUCUUACAUUUAUCUUCAAGGGCAACAUGAUGAAUCAAUUCUACUACAGACUGAAGAACAUACAGUCUGAAGCGAGAAAUGAUGAGAUGAAGAAGAAUGUAUAUGAAGCAAUGGCAGCAAUGUUUGAAAUCCAAAAACAAUGCAUUGAUAGUGUAACAUAUGUGUUAAAUACUUGUGAAUUUCACCCAAAACACAUUUUUUUGGAUUAAAUAUGUCAUUUUGGCAUCUCACUCUCCUACCUGUGUGAUCUGAGUCUGUGUGGGUGUGCGCUGCGUGAUGACGUAGGCGCGUGCAUGUGUGCCCCGGUCACAGCUCCUUUCAGCAUGGCCGGAGGAGAGGUGUACUGUCAGUCACGUGACACACACGGAUCGAACACGUAUUUCUGUGUUGCAGAUGUACAGUAAAGAGCCAAAGAUUCAGCACUGUCUCCUGCCUCUUGCUUCAACACCAGAACACAACGCAGAACAGCAGGCGUAACACUUGAACGGGUUACAUUGGUGCCGUGACCCUUUGGAUUCAUCAAGCAUCGACGUCAUCUCGAUCACCGUGGGGAGCUCUUCGCAAUUGCCCUCGUUCCAAGUUGGUUGCUUUUCCUAACUUGUGCGGGACUUUUUGAAUGAGCUUGGACAUUUAAUCUGCUCAAUUCUCAUCCUGAAUAACAUUAAGUGUUAGUUAAGAAUACUGUGUUUGCUUUUGUACAGUUGCACUAUUUGGAAUUUUGUUUCUUGCGAUUGUGCUUUAUUCAUCAUUAUGGAGCCAGCAUCUGGUUCAGAGGCAACUGGUGUUCCUGAUGGGGAGGUUUCCUCUAAUGUUGGUUUGGGGCGAGGGUGGUUUCUUGGGGAUGGGGUUCAGACACCUAAAGUUGGUGUGUCAUUUGCUCCCAAGUUUUGUUCCACUCGUCUCCAGGUUCCCCCCUGUGACAUUCAGACCCCGCAGACA